CCCUUAGAUGUCCUGGGCCGCACGCGCGUUACACUGAUGCAUUCAACGAGCUUAUAACCUUGGCCGAGAGGCCUGGGCAAUCUUGUUAACGUGCAUCGUGAUAGGGAUAGAUUAUUGAAAUUAUUAAUCUUGAACGAGGAAUUCCUAGUAAACGCAGAUCAUCAAUCUGCAUUGAUUACGUCCCUGCCCUUUGUACACACCGCCCGUCGCUCCUACCGAUUGAGCGAUCCGGUGAAUGUUUUGGACUGGUGUCCGCAAGCGUUUCGCUUCGGACGCUACGAAAUUUUGUAAACCUUAUCGCUUAGAGGAAGGAAAAGUCGUAACA
rnacentral:rRNA from 1 species